UACGAAGGGGGCUAGCGUUGCUCGGAAUCACUGGGCGUAAAGGGUGCGUAGGCGGGUCUUUAAGUCAGGGGUGAAAUCCUGGAGCUCAACUCCAGAACUGCCUUUGAUACUGAAGAUCUUGAGUCCGGGAGAGGUGAGUGGAACUGCGAAUGUAGAGGUGAAAUUCGUAGAUAUUCGCAAGAACACCAGUGGCGAAGGCGGCUCACUGGCCCGGUACUGACGCUGAGGCACGAAAGCGUGGGGAGCAAACAGG
rnacentral:rRNA from 1 species